UACGAAGGGGGCUAGCGUUGCUCGGAAUCACUGGGCGUAAAGGGUGCGUAGGCGGGUCUUUAAGUCAGGGGUGAAAUCCUGGAGCUUAACUCCAGAACUGCCUUUGAUACUGAAGAUCUUGAGUUCGGGAGAGGUGAGUGGAACUGCGAGUGUAGAGGUGAAAUUCGUAGAUAUUCGCAAGAACACCAGUGGCGAAGGCGGCUCACUGGCCCGAUACUGACGCUGAUGCACGAAAGCGUGGGGAGCAAACAGG
rnacentral:rRNA from 1 species